rnacentral:snoRNA from 1 species
UUGCCCAAUGAUUAUAGCAAGACGCGUUAUUAUGAGGACUAAUGCUGGAACUCUAUUUCUCCUCCUCCUCCUCCUUUGUCCCUUCCUCUUCCACCUUACCCCUCACUUUCCUUAGGGUAUCCAGCGUCCUAUGAGCAAGACUGAGAUAUGAGGGCAA